rnacentral:rRNA from 1 species
GAUUUAACGGCCGCGGUACUCUGACCGUGCGAAGGUAGCACAAUCACUUGUUCUUUAAAUGAGGACUAGAAUCAAUGGCAUCACGAGGGUCCCACUGUCUCCUUUUUCUAAUCGGUGAAAUUGAUUUCCCCGUGAAGAAGCGGGGAUAACUUUAUAAGACGAGAAGACCCCAUGGAGCUUCAAACUCAACAGAUAACCAUACAACCUACAAAUAUUUUAAGGAACCUAUCUGUUAGUUUUGGGUUGGGGUGACCACGGAGAACAACCUAACCUCCGUAAUGAAAAGAAUAAUAAUCGUAAUCCAAGAGCCACACCUCUAAGAAUUAACAAAUUAACAUACAAUGAUCCAAUAUUUUGUUGAUCAAUGAACCAAGUUACCCUGGGGAUAACAGCGCUAUCCACUCCUAGAGUCCCUAUCGCCGAGUGGGUUUACGACCUCGAUGUUGGAUCAGGGUGUCCGAGUGGUGCAGCC